rnacentral:lncRNA from 1 species
AAGAAACUCCACACCUAUUAGCAGUCACUCCGCCUUUCCUCCCCAAUCCUCCCAGCCCCUGGCAUUCACUGACCUACUUUCUGUCUCAGUAUUUGCCCAUUCUGGUCAUUUCUUAUACAUGGAAUCAUACAAUAUGUGGCCUUUUGUGAAGUUGGCAUGACGUCUUCAAGAUUCAUGUUGUUGCCUCAAUUCCUUUUUAUUACAGACCUGAGCACUUCCAUGUAUUACCCCAUUUAGUCCUCAUUCCCUGAUGGGUAAAGUAAGGCUCAGGGAAGAGGUAGUGACCUGUCCAAGGUCACAUAGCAAUUCAGUUGAGGGUGACCAGGCUAGAAUCCAGGCACUUCAUGAUCAGAAAAGGGGCUGAGAGCAGUGCAGUGCAGUCUGGGGGGCACAGCGUGGGCCUGGCAGUUAUGGGAGGGAGAAAGGGUAGGGGAGCAGGCAGGUGCGUCCCGGGAUGUGAGGAUGAGACAGGACGCCGGACGUGCACGCCCAUCCCAGCAUCCUGCCUCUGCUCCAUAGUGCGUGUUUACUCCAUCUCAGUCAUGGACUCUUGCUUUUCCCUGUGCAAGCAGGAGGCUGUGCAAGUACAGGGUAGGGGCCAGGAAUUCUGACAGAAAAUAGGACUUUGGGCUGGGGAGGGGCCUUGGACAUCAGGCUCAGAGGUGAGAGCGUUCUCUUGUCCCAGAGCCAGCAGUAGCUCUUGGCAGGGUAUUUCUUGGGAACUUGGCUGGUAUCAGCAGCCCUGGGACAUAGCUUGGAGAAAUCGAUUGGACCUAAGUAAUGCCAUUAUCCCUGGCAGGAAGGGGAGGGGAGGGGAUGGGCUGGUGAGGGAUGGUGGAGAGAGUCCCGUCUCAGAGAUCGUCCCGGCGGCCGAGUGUGGUGUAAGUAGCAUGCCUCUGUUAGCAGAACUUCUGGGCACUUCUCUGAAGUAUGGUCCAAGAAGUCCCUAGUGCUUCCUGCUCUUGCUGCCCUGUGUUGCUCCCUGGGGACAUGGGGUUAACGCAGACCAUCCCAUGGGGCAGGCAGGCAUGUCCACGGUGCUCUCACAGUGUGCCCAGGUAAGAGGGAGGGACAUGCCAGGGAUAUGGGAGGCUGGGGAGACCUCUAACCAAACUGGGCCUCCAUGGAGGAGGGAACAUCUGACACUUGAAGGAUCGGGAAGUGUUCACCAGGUGAAGGGAAGCAAGGCUGGAAAAGCAGUAGUGGUCAGAUCCCGGUCACUGCCUGUUAAGAAGUUCAGUCCAGCUGCAGAGGCAGAGCCUGGGUGGCCUUGGCAGCACCUGAUAACUAAAGCCGUGAGAGUGGACAAGAUGGCUGCAGCCAGGAGAGCAUACAGAAGAGAGAGAAGAGGUUUGCCUCCCAGAGAAUCCCCUACAGUUAUGAACAGGACAAAAAUGCACCAGGGGGAGAGGAGACUCUGAGAGCCAGUAUCAGCGAAGUUCUGGGCCGAGGCAUGACGCAUGCACUUCUACUUCCCUCUUUUCCAG